AGAUACUUACUUUUCUUUGCACAUAUUACCUUAUUUCCUUUUUCCACACAUCCUUGAUUAUUAACAACCAUUUAACUCAUAAUAUCCAGGCGCAUAUACUGACGUUCCUCUCGUAAGGCCACUAGCGAAGGCCUACACCACACAAGCAGACUUAGUCUCAUUUAAAAUUUGGGUCCAUUUGUUUCCGGAAAACAUUUUCCAGAUUUUACGGUGUUUAUUUUGUUGGAAAGUGAAUUCCUAUAGGAAAACAUUCUCGAAAACACAGGUAAAUCAUUUCAGCCUUUCCAGAAAACGUCUUACCGAUUUCUAAAGUGUAAGACAUUUUCCACAGCUCCUAUCUUCACUCUCAUCGCACACUGCUCAUCUCUGUCCAUCAGCCUCGGCCUCUCUUCCUCAUCUCUGUUCGUUGGCCUUACCUCAUCAUCUCUGCCUUGUCUUCUCUGUCAGUCGACCGUCGUCCUUACCAAGUCUGUAUUUUGAAGAAACCUUAAAAAAUUAGCAGCCACAGUAAGAUUUGUCGAACAUGUUGGUUCACCUCUUCUCGUUAGCUUGCUAAAAAAUUACAGCCUCCUUUGUCACCUCAUCUCGCGAUUUAUCGAAGAUUGUUUAGUGAGAGGGUUUCAAUCGUGUAGCAGAUUGGGUUCGGCUUCUUUGCUUGUAAUAAUAUGGAGUUGCUUCCUUAGCUUGACUUCCAUGUCCUGCUUGCUUUAUGUGCUUUUAAGCAAGGGAGCUGCUGUUUAGUACUUGGGUUACACACCUGGCCUCUUUAUUGUAGGACUGCUCGGCAUUUUGGUAUUAUGGAUGUAUACUAACUUUUGGAUAAUAGGAACACUAUUUAUAGUUGGAGGUUAUUUGUUCUCCUUAAGCCAUGCGAGAUUGAUAGUCUUAAUAGCGACUGCGUACUCUGUGAAAGUUCGAGUUGGGUGGAUUGGUGUUUUUCUAUCAAUAAACUUGACUAUUCAAUUUUUUGAAAAGAAUCUAACCAUGCCUCAUGAAUAUCCAUAAGCUCUAGUGACAUUGCAUAGGGGUUAUUUUUAUUGAUGAAUAUUUUUUUGAAAUGUUUUGUAGGAUGUUUAUCUACUAGGAAAUGUAUUUGUUGAUGAAUUUUCAGACUAUGAAAUCUGAAGAAAGAAAGACCUUAUUUAAUUUUUAUAGAGGGACCAAAACUGA